UGACAGGGACAUAUAGGAAGGGAUUCAGUCAGAGGUACGUUGUAGACCUCUGACAGGGACAUAUAGGAAGGGAUUCAGUCAGAGGUACGUUGUAGACCUCUGUUGACAGGGACAUAUAGGAAGGGAUUCAGUCAGAGGUACGUUGUAGACCUCUGACAGGGACAUAUAGGAAGGGAUUCAGUCAGAGGUACGUUGUAGACCUCUGUUGACAGGGACAUAUAGGAAGGGAUUCAGUCAGAGGUACGUUGUAGACCUCUGUUGACAGGGACAUAUAGGAAGGGAUUCAGUCAGAUGUACGUUGUAGACCUCUGACAGGGACAUAUAGGAAGGGAUUCAGUCAGAGGUACGUUGUAGACCUCUGUUGACAGGGACAUAUAGGAAGGGAUUCAGUCAGAGGUACGUUGUAGACCUCUGACAGGGACAUAUAGGAAGGGAUUCAGUCAGAGGUACGUUGUAGACCUCUGUUGACAGGGACAUAUAGGAAGGGAUUCAGUCAGAGGUACGUUGUAGACCUCUGUUGACAGGGACAUAUAGGAAGGGAUUCAGUCAGAGGUACGUUGUAGACCUCUGACAGGGACAUAUAGGAAGGGAUUCAGUCAGAGGUACGUUGUAGACCUCUGUUGACAGGGACAUAUAGGAAGGGAUUCAGUCAGAGGUACGUUGUAGACCUCUGUUGACAGGGACAUAUAGGAAGGGAUUCAGUCAGAGGUACGUUGUAGACCUCUGACAGGGACAUAUAGGAAGGGAUUCAGUCAGAGGUACGUUGUAGACCUCUUGACAGGGACAUAUAGGAAGGGAUUCAGUCAGAGGUACGUUGUAGACCUCUGACAGGGACAUAUAGGAAGGGAUUCAGUCAGAGGUACGUUGUAGACCUCUGUUGACAGUGCCCCAUUUAAAGGCAGUGUUCCUCAGCGUGUUCAUUGUAAAUGUUGCAUAUGUCAGCUCAGUCAGAUAUCACCUUUAAAUGUUCAGGGUGCUACAACACACCUCAGAUUGAAUCUCAGACACUGUAUUCGUACAAGACUGUUUCUGCAUCCAACAACAAGUUGCCAAGCUAGUAGUAAUGUUAAUUAGUGGGAUAAGUUGGUCAAAUCUGGAACAGACUGUUACCCUGUCUAGUGAAGAGGUCACCAUCUCUUAUGUCACAAUGAAAGUGAUGAGGAACAAUGAGGAACCAUGAUAACUAAAAGAUGAAAAGGUAAGCUGUGAAACCUCUCCUUCGCACACACACACACACACACACACACACACACACACACACACACACACACACACACACACACACACACACACACACACACGAGAGAUCAAGGUGCAGACAGACAGGGUGUGUGAGGUUGCAGGAACAGAUAAGGAA